rnacentral:rRNA from 1 species
UACGUAGGGAGCAAGCGUUGUCCGGAAUCAUUGGGCGUAAAGCGCGCGUAGGCGGCCCUGUAAGUCCGUUGUGAAAGUCAAAGGCUCAACCUUUGAAAGCCGAUGGAUACUGCAGGGCUAGAGUCCGGAAGAGGCGAGUGGAAUUCCUGGUGUAGCGGUGGAAUGCGCAGAUAUCAGGAGGAACACCAAUAGCGAAGGCAGCUCGCUGGGACGGUACUGACACUAAGGCGCGAAAGCGUGGGGAGCGAACAGG